AUUUCUGUAUAGAUCUCCGUGAUUCGAAACAUUCCUAUCUCCCAAAAUGUUGUAAGAAGCAACUGUAAACCUUUCUUCAUGAUGUUUGCCACCGGGAAGAGCAUCCCCUUGCACCCAAUGCCGGACGAUUUCAUGUUCUUGACUGAUACCUCCGCGACUUCCCGAUUUGUACCACCGCCGGCUGUAGGAAGCCGUCGGCGAAGAGGUGUUGUUACGAUGGAAGCUCAUAUAGCACAUGUUGAAUAUAGGCCGAAAGUUGAGGGUGGCAGCGUUCAUAAUGAGCCUGGGAGUGGUCAGCCACGAGGAACCGGCUCUACAGCAGCAGCCCAUUGCAUGAGUAGCAGAGUAAAUGUCAG
rnacentral:misc_RNA from 1 species